UAAGUCUCAUUUGGGGCAUAAAUGAGGCUUUUGAUGGCCGGGGCCUGCGUGCCACAGUCAUGAGACCUCAUCCAGAGGCCGAGCUCAGUCAUGGGAUCCAGGAAACUGAAUUAAAGCAACUUAAGGAGCUUUUUUCCAAGCUCUGCUCUGGUUUUCCACGUGCUUGUCAUAUGAACAAAGACGGUAUAAAAGGGCAGAGGGGAAGGAUCCCCUUGGGCUGGGAGAAGGGACUGCGUUGGGAAAGGAUGCCAGGGACUCUCGGAGGAGUGCGGGGCCGGGCCCGCUGCCCCCUGUGAGCUUCCCUUUGUCAUCCUAUGCCUGAGCGUUCCUGGAGGCUGGGACGGCCAAGGGAGGCCCACGGGCUGCCACAGCCCCGCGGUGACAGCGCCUGGACGGCUCUCGUGGGACCCCGCGCCGGGCUGGGACACCCUGCGGGACUGAAAUGUCCCCUGGAGGGCUGGGAGCCGCCCCUUCGUGGCAAAGCAUUGUCUUGUAGGGGCCAGAGAAUCCGCUUAGGAACAUCCCAGGGGGAUGAAACUCCCAUGGAGGGACCAGAACGUCCUGGAGGAGGGGCUGGGAUGAAUCCCCUUCAUGCGCCAGGAGCACCUCUGGGGAGCUGCAGCUUCCCCUGGGGAAAGCAAAGCAUCCCUUUGGGGUGCCAGAAGAAUGUGGGGAGCUGCAAACACCCGUGGGGAGCUGGAGCAUCCCCCAGGCUGGCUGGUACCCCAGGGGGGUGGGAGGCAGCAGCCAGGCCAUUGCCCAGGAUAUGGAUGGAUUCUGGGGUGUCACGGAGAACCCCUGUCUGGGAAGGAACUCCCAUGGGGGACAUGGACCAUGGGGUGUUAAAUGCAGGGUGGGACCAGGAUGAGGUACUGGGAGCGAUGUCACCAUCCUGGUCAGCCCAUCCCUGUGAAGAUGUGACCCCAUGUGAGGAUGUUCUGGCAGCUCCAGGGAAGCAAGGCCCUGUUCUCCCAGCUCUGUUCCCUUCUCCAGCUUCACAACCCCCCCGGCAGCUCGUGCUGAGGCUGGAAAAGUUCCCAUGGGGAUGCAGAGAAAAUCUCCCCCACGGGGAGCAGGAACUGCUCCUGGGUGCUCAGAUGAGGUGAUGCAGAGCAGGGAGCAGGGAGGGGGGUCUGUGGGGCAGGCUCUGGUCACACCAGCAUCUGGGUUCCAUUUUUUUGGGUUCUUCUCCCAAAACUCAACCCCAUUCACCCAGCUGGGGGUGGGUGGCAGGGCAGGGACCAGCAGGGGGGCAGGGCUGGAGGGUGGGGAUGACCCUGCAGGGCACCCCCGAGCCCCAGGCGGGAUCUGAGCUCGGCUCCAGGCAGCGACCCAGGAGCCCCCGGCAGCCCUGGAGCUGCUCCUGGGCCACAGCUGGCCCUGGGUGGCAGGGGGACACCCAGCAAGGCGUGAGGUCACCCUGGCACCAGGGCAGGUCCCUGUGUCAGCCAGCACAGUGCAGUGUGACCCUGUCACCGGGGACAGGUCCCUGUGUCACCCAGCACAGUGUGGUGUGUCCCUGUCACUGGGGACAGGUCCCUGUGUCACCCAGCACAGUGUGGUGUGUCCCUGUCACCAGGGACAGGUCCCUGUGUCACCCAGCACAGUGUGGUGUGUCCCUGUCACUGGGGACAGGUCCCUGUGUCACCCAGCACAGUGUGGUGUGUGUCCCUGUCACCGGGGACAGGUCCCUGUGUCACUGUCACCCAGCACAGUGUGGUGUGUGUCCCUGUCACCGGGGACAGGUCCCUGUGUCACUGUCACCCAGCACAGUGUGGUGUGUCCCUGUCACCGGGGACAGGUCCCUGUGUCACUGUCACCCAGCACAGUGUGGUGUGUCCCUGUCACUGGGGACAGGUCCCAGCAGCAGGAAGGGCUGUGCCAGGUGACUGUGCCCCGAUGCAGUGACAUGCCCCUGCCUGGCUCUCCUGGGCAGGCGAGGGCCAAGCCCCGUCCCCCUUGUCCCCCUUGUCCCUGCAGGGUCAGUGACAGCCCCACCCUGUGCCCCCCGGCCCAGCUCGUCCCCUCCUCCCCUGGAGUCAGAGCCUCUGUCCCGGGUCCCCUCCUGUCUCUGCAGAGGCUCGGGGGCUCUGAGGGGCUGGGGGCAGUUUGGGGGUCCCUUGCUCAGU